AGUGAACGCUGGCGGCGUGCUUAACACAUGCAAGUCGAACGCGAAAGUGUAGCAAUACACGAGUAGAGUGGCGAACGGGUGAGUAACAUGUGGGUAAUCUAGCUUCCUGAGGGGGAUAACCCGGCGAAAGCUGGGCUAAUACCGCGUAAUAUUUGGAUGUUUACGGACAUUUGAAUCAAAGGAUGGCCUCUAUUUAUAAGCUAUCGCAGGGAGAUGAGCCCACAUCCUAUCACGCUUGUUGGUGGGGUAACGGCCCACCAAGGCGACGACGGGUAGCCGGCCUGAGAGGGUGUCCGGCCACACUGGAACUGAGACACGGUCCAGACUCCUACGGGAGGCAGCAGUGGGGAAUUUUUCGCAAUGGGCGCAAGCCUGACGAAGCAACGCCGCGUGGAGGAUGACGGCCCUAGCGGUCUUAAACUCCUGUCUAGCGGGACGAAACUCUCCAAGGUGAAUAAUCUUGGAGAUUGACUGUACCGCUGGAGGAAGCUCCGGCCAACUCCGUGC
rnacentral:rRNA from 1 species